rnacentral:rRNA from 1 species
CUUAACACAUGCAAGUCGAGCGGUAAGGCCCUUCGGGGUACACGAGCGGCGAACGGGUGAGUAACACGUGGGUGAUCUGCCUUGCACUCUGGGAUAAGCCUGGGAAACUGGGUCUAAUACCGGAUAUGAGCCUGGACUGCAUGGUCUGGGUUGGAAAGGUUACUGGUGCGAGAUGGGCCCGCGGCCUAUCAGCUUGUUGGUGGGGUAACGGCCUACCAAGGCGACGACGGGUAGCCGACCUGAGAGGGUGACCGGCCACACUGGGACUGAGACACGGCCCAGACUCCUACGGGAGGCAGCAGUGGGGAAUAUUGCACAAUGGGCGAAAGCCUGAUGCAGCGACGCCGCGUGAGGGAUGACGGCCUUCGGGUUGUAAACCUCUUUUGACAGGGACGAAGCGCAAGUGACGGUACCUGUAGAAGAAGCACCGGCCAACUACG